UGGGGAAUCUUGGACAAUGGGCGCAAGCCUGAUCCAGCCAUGCCGCGUGAGUGAUGAAGGCCUUAGGGUUGUAAAGCUCUUUUGCCGGGGACGAUAAUGACGGUACCCGGAGAAUAAGUCCCGGCUAACUUCGUGCCAGCAGCCGCGGUAAUACGAAGGGGACUAGCGUUGUUCGGAAUCACUGGGCGUAAAGCGCACGUAGGCGGAUUUGUAAGUCAGGGGUGAAAUCCCGGGGCUCAACCUCGGAACUGCCUUUGAUACUGCGGAUCUCGAGUCCGAUAGAGGUGAGUGGAAUUCCUAGUGUAGAGGUGAAAUUCGUAGAUAUUAGGAAGAACACCGGUGGCGAAGGCGGCUCACUGGAUCGGUACUGACGCUGAGGUGCGAAAGCAAGGGGAUCAAACAGGAUUAGAUACCCGGGUAGUCCCUGAGCGGGCUGGCAAGGCGCAU
rnacentral:rRNA from 1 species